GCCUCGAUGGUGUAGUGGUAGUAGCACGCGUCGCUAACAUGGAUGAAACGCGGGUUCAAUUCCCGCGUGAGGCC